AGAGUUUGAUCAUGGCUCAGAACGAACGCUGGCGGAAUGCUUUACACAUGCAAGUCGAACGAGUACUUUUUACGAGUGGCGAACGGGUGAGUAACGCGUGGGAACCUACCUUGAGGUAAAGAAUAACUACAGGAAACUGUAGCUAAUACUUUAUGUGCCCUACGGGGGAAAAAUUUAUUGCCUUUUGAGGGGCCCGCGUCAGAUUAGCUUGUUGGUAAGGUAAUGGCUUACCAAGGCUAUGAUCUGUAGCUGGUUUGAGAGGAUGAUCAGCCACAUUGGGACUGAGACACGGCCCAGACUCCUACGGGAGGCAGCAGUGGGGAAUCUUGGACAAUGGGGGAAACCCUGAUCCAGCAAUUCCGCGUGAAUGAUGAAGGCCUUAGGGUUGUAAAGUUCUUUUAGUAAGGAAGAUGAUGACGGUACUUACAGAAAAAGCUCCGGCUAACUCCGUGCCAGCAGCCGCGGUAAUACGGAGGGGGCAAGCGUUGUUCGGAAUUACUGGGCGUAAAGAGCGAGCAGGUGGUUCAUUAAGUCAAUUGUGAAAGCUCAAGGCUUAACCUUGAAAUUGCUUUUGAUACUGAUGAACUAGAGUUUGGGAGAGGAUAGUGGAAUUCUAAGUGUAGAAGUGAAAUUCGUAGAUAUUUAGAGGAACACCGAUAGCGAAGGCAACUAUCUGGCCCUUUACUGACACUCAGAAGCGAAAGCUUGGGUAGCAAACAGGAUUAGAUACCCUGGUAGUCCAUGCUGUAAACGAUGAGUGCUAGAUGUUAGAAGUUUACUUCUAGUAUCGAAGCUAACGCGUUAAGCACUCCGCCUGGGGAGUACGGCCGCAAGGCUAAAACUCAAAUGAAUUGACGGGGACCCGCACAAGCAGUGGAGCAUGUGGUUUAAUUCGACGCUACGCGAAGAACCUUACCAGCUCUUGACAUGCUAAGUUUUGGAUUUAAGAGAUUAAAUUUUUCAGUUCGGCUGGGCUUAGUACAGGUGCUGCAUGGCUGUCGUCAGCUCGUGUCGUGAGAUGUUCGGU
rnacentral:rRNA from 1 species